UUCUAGUCAGCGAGUGGUACGAUUACUGUCAUUUAUAAAUAACUACACGUCUAGUAAACCAAAUCACCUAGAGUAUUCUGGAGAAGGAGCCUGAGAAACGGCUACUACAUCUACGGAAGGCAGCAGGCGCGUAAAUUACCCAAUCCUGACUCAGGGAGGUGGUGACAAGAUAUAACAACGCGAUUAUAAUCGCGAUUGUAGUGAGGGUAUUCUAAACAGAACCUAUAGUACGAUUAGAGGGCAAGUCUGGUGCCAGCAGCCGCGGUAAUUCCAGCUCUAAUAGCGCACUACAAAAGUUGCUGCAGUUAAAAAGCUCGUAGUUGGAUUUCAAGGAAAGUAUCUUCCUCCGAAAAUACUACCUACUAGUCUUCGGACUGUUACUGUGAGAAAAUUAGAGUGCUUCAAGCAGGCUUUCGCAAGAAUACAUUAGCAUGGAAUAACGAAUGUAUUUAGAAUCUUGGUUAUUCUACAUUACGAUUAAUAGAGACAGUUGGGGGCAUUAGUAUUUAUUGUCAGAGUGAAAUCUGAUUGUAAGACUACGUAUGCGAAGCAUUGCAGAUGUUUCAUAUCAGACGAAGUGGGAUCAGACAUCGAACUGCGAGCUAUCUUAACUUGCGACAGCAUGAGGCAUACAUCGACUAGAACAACUUGUUGGGGAGUGCGAGACUAAAUAGGAGCACAGGGCCUUUCCGCAACACACAGAGAGCUCUCUGGGGCCGGUCCACACUA
rnacentral:rRNA from 1 species